rnacentral:rRNA from 1 species
AUUGAACGCUGGCGGCAGGCCUAACACAUGCAAGUCGAGCGGAGCGGCGGACGGGUGAGUAAUGCCUAGGAAUCUGCCUGGUAGAGGGGGAGAACGUCCGGAAACGGGCGCUAAUACCGCAUAAUAUCAGAUGAGCCUAGGUCGGAUUAGCUAUUUGGUGGGGGAAAGGCCUAACAAGGCGACGAUCCGUAACUGGUCUGAGAGGAUGAUCAGUCACACUGGAACUGUGACACGGUCCAGCCUCCUACGUGAGGCAGCAGUGGGGAAUAUUGGACAAUGGGCGAAAGCCUGAUCCAGCCAUGCCGCGUGUGUGAAGAAGGUCUUCGGAUUGUAAAGCACUUUAAGUUGGGAGGCGUUACCAACAGAAUAAGCACCGGCUAACUUCGUGCCAGCCGCCGCGGUAAUAC